GAUGAACGCUGGCGGCGUGCCUAAUACAUGCAAGUCGAGCGAACGGACGAGAAGCUUGCUUCUCUGAUGUUAGCGGCGGACGGGUGAGUAACACGUGGAUAACCUACCUAUAAGACUGGGAUAACUUCGGGAAACCGGAGCUAAUACCGGAUAAUAUUUUGAACCGCAUGGUUCAAAAGUGAAAGACGGUCUUGCUGUCACUUAUAGAUGGAUCCGCGCUGCAUUAGCUAGUUGGUAAGGUAACGGCUUACCAAGGCAACGAUGCAUAGCCGACCUGAGAGGGUGAUCGGCCACACUUGAACUGAGACACGGGCCAAACUUCUAAGGGAGGCAGCCGUAGGGAAUCUUCCGCAAUGGGCGAAAGCCUGACGGAGCAACGCCGCGUGAGUGAUGAAGGUCUUCGGAUCGUAAAACUCUGUUAUUAGGGAAGAACAUAUGUGUAAGUAACUGUGCACAUCUUGACGGUACCUAAUCAGAAAGCCACGGCUAACUACGUG
rnacentral:rRNA from 1 species